AACGCGUGGGCAACCUGCCCUCCAGUUGGGGACAACAUUCCGAAAGGGAUGCUAAUACCGAAUGUGCUCCCUCCUCCGCAUGGAGGAGGGAGGAAAGAUGGCCUCUGCUUGCAAGCUAUCGCUGGAAGAUGGGCCCGCGUCUGAUUAGCUAGUUGGUGGGGUAACGGCUCACCAAGGCGAUGAUCAGUAGCCGGUCUGAGAGGAUGAACGGCCACAUUGGGACUGAGACACGGCCCAAACUCCUACGGGAGGCAGCAGUGGGGAAUCUUCCGCAAUGGACGAAAGUCUGACGGAGCAACGCCGCGUGAGUGAUGAAGGUCUUCGGAUUGUAAAACUCUGUUGUUAGGGACGAAAGCACCGUGUUCGAACAGGUCAUGGUGUUGACGGUACCUAACGAGGAAGCCACGGCUAACUACGUGCCAGCAGCCGCGGUAAUACGUAGGUGGCAAGCGUUGUCCGGAAUUAUUGGGCGUAAAGAGCAUGUAGGCGGGCUUUUAAGUCUGACGUGAAAAUGCGGGGCUUAACCC
rnacentral:rRNA from 1 species